AAAAAAAAAAAAAAAAUCCUGUGGUUUGGGCCAUUUUCAAUUAAGGUCCUAUGGUUUGAGUUUUGACAAAUCAAUACUCUGUAGUUAAGUACAUUAGCUUUGUUUCAAACACCCUAAUGCCGUUAAUUGCUGUGGACGUGAUGGGCAGAAAAAAUGGGUUGACAUCAACAGCCAUUAAUACCUUCUUUGCUAAAGGACUUAACCCACAUGGUAGUGGAUUUUCAAAACUCAAACUGCAGGACCCUACUUGAAAAUGACCCAAAUCACAGGGUACUUUUUCGUAUUUUGCCCUAUCUUGUUUAAAUAAAAUAUAUGGAUUGUUGGAUUCAUUUGUUCUUGAAUAUUCCACAUUGUUUCUCUCGCCUGCUGGCUUGCUUCUUUGGAAAAGAGUUAAUUUCUGGUUUCAAAAUAAGGUCUCUAAAUCUAUUAAGGUAAAAAAUAAUACCCCUGAUAGCAAUGGAAUCUGUCUUUUAGAAUGAUUUACUCUUGAAAAUGCGCUGAAGCAUUUAUGUUUUUGUUUGAAUUCAUUCACAAGCAAAUAAAAUGUUUAUGUAUUGGGAAUGAUUCACUUUUGAAAAUGUAUUGGGAAUGAUUCACUCUUGAAAAUACAUACUCCCCUUGUUUGUUAAAGACUUGAAAAGUUUCUGGAAUUUGAUGUGUCGUGUCUCUAUGACAGGGUGCCUGUACUCUUCAAAGGGCA
rnacentral:misc_RNA from 1 species